ACGUAAUAGAUACCCCGGUAGUCCACGCCCUAAACGAUGUCUACUAGUUGUUGGUGGAGUAAAAUCCAUGAGUAAACGCAGCUAAACGCGUGAAGUAGACCGCCUGGGGAGUACGGUCGCAAGAUUAAAACUCAAAGGAAUUGACGGGGGCCCGCACAAGCGGUGGAUUAUGUGGAUUAAUUCGAUGCAACGCGAAAAACCUUACCUGGCCUUGACAUGCCACUAACGAAGCAGAGAUGCAUUAGGUGCCCGUAAGGGAAAGUGGACACAGGUGCUGCAUGGCUGUCGUCAGCUCGUGUCGUGGGAUGUUGGGUUAAGUCCCGCAACGAGCGCAACCCUUGCCAUUAAUUGCCAUCAUUUAGUUGGGCACUUUAAUGGGACUGCCGGUGACAAACCGGAGGAAGGUGGGGAGUGACGUCAAGUCCUCAUGGCCCUUAUGGCCAGGGCUUCACACGUAAUACAAUGGUCGGUACAGAGAGUUGCCAACCCGCGAGGGGAGCUAAUCUCAGAAAGCCGAUCGUAGUCCGGAUUGUUCUCUGC
rnacentral:rRNA from 1 species